rnacentral:tRNA from 1 species
CUUGGACUGGCGGAACUGGCAGACGCACCAGCCUUGCACGCUGGCGAGGCGCAAGCCUCAUUACGGGUUCGAUUCCCGUGUCCCCGA